rnacentral:rRNA from 1 species
AGAGUUUGAUCCUGGCUCAGGACGAACGCUGGCGGUGCGCCUAAUGCAUGCAAGUCGAACGAUCGACCCCGACUUGUCGGGGAAGAGAGUGGCAGACGGCUGAGUAACACGUGGGUGACCUGUCCUAAAGAGGGGGAUAAUCCCGAGAAAUCGGGCCUAAUACCCCGUACGUCUGCCUGGCUACGGCUAGGUAGGGAAAGAUUCUCCCUUCGGGGGGCGUCGCUUUUGGAGGGGCCCGCGACCUAUCAGGUAGUUGGUAAGGUAAUGGCUUACCAAGCCUAAGACGGGUAACCGGUGUGAGAGCACGAUCGGUCAGAGGGGGACUGAGACACGGCCCCCACUCCUACGGGAGGCAGCAGCAGGGAAUCUUGCGCAAUGGGCGAAAGCCUGACGCAGCGACACCGCGUGGGGGAAGAAGGCCUCUGGGUUGUGAACCCCUUUUCUCGAGGAAGAGAGAGGACGGUACUCGAGGAAUAAGGUUCGGCUAACUACGUGCCAGCAGCCGCGGUAAUACGUAGGAACCGAGCGUUGUCCGGAUUUACUGGGCGUAAAGAGCGCGUAGGCGGCUCGUCGUGUCUCAUGUGAAAUCUCCCGGCUCAACUGGGAGCGGUCAUGGGAAACUGGCGAGCUUGAGUACAGUAGAGGAAAGUGGAAUUCACGGAGUAGUGGUGAAAUGCGUAGAUACCGUGAGGAAUACCAGUGGCGAAAGCGACUUUCUGGGCUGUCACUGACGCUGAGGCGCGAGAGCGUGGGGAGCGAACCGGAUUAGAUACCCGGGUAGUCCACGCCCUAAACGAUGGAUACUAGAUAUAGGGGGUAUCGACCCCCCCUGUGUCGAAGCUAACGCGAUAAGUAUCCCGCCUGGGGAGUACGGCCGCAAGGCUAAAACUCAAAGGAAUUGACGGGGACCCGCACAAGCAGCGGAGCGUGUGGUUUAAUUCGAUGCAAGCGAGACCUACAGGUCUGACUGGUCCGCUAUCUCGUGAAACGAGAGUCUCGGGACGUCACAGAAUGAUGCAUGCUGUCGUCAGCUCGUGCCGCAGGUGUGGGUAGUCCGCACGAGCGCACCAUUUCGUUAGUGUUUCUCUAACGAUCAGUCGUAACAACGAGGUAGCGGAUAGGUCAGUCACAGGUUCCUUAGCUCUGGGGCUUACAACA